UCCAGCUGUACAGGUGUAACUCUGGAUUGGAGGUUUUGAUAGCUAUUUGCUUUGGAAACUUCUUGCCAGAGUUCAUUGGAAUGUUGAUAGAGCUGAACUUUAAUAUUUCACAUCUGGUUAGGUAUUGCCUUCAUCUUGAUGUCAACUUCAAUUGAAAAACUUCCGAAGCUUGCAGGAAAAAUGCAUUGCAGAUCACAAAAAAGAGGUCAUGUUGAUGGUUUUAAGCACAGAAAAUAUGCCAAACUAUACAAAAAAUAUAUACUU